rnacentral:misc_RNA from 1 species
AUCACGCAGGCCAUCAUCGCUUCGCCGACCGGCACCGCGCGAAUGCCGACGCAGGGAUCGUGACGGCCCUUGGUCAUGAUGUCGGUGUCGGCACCGGCCUUGUCGAUGGUGCGGCGUGGGGUGAGGAUCGACGACGUCGGCUUCACCGCGAAACGCGCCACCACCGGCUGCCCGGUCGAGAUGCCGCCGAGAAUNNNNNNNNNNNNCAGAAACACCGGACCGUUGUUGCCCAUGCGCAUCUCGUCCGCGUUCUCUUCGCCGUGCAGU